AUACCGGGUGUGCUGCAGAUACCCGGAACAACCAGGCUAUAAGAAGAGGACUCUGGCAGGGGUGAGGUGCGUGCCGUUGGUGGAGCGGAGACUCCCCGGCCGCCCAGAGCUGUUCUGCUUGCUUGGUUGCUUGCUUAAUAAAUUCGGCUUUAAUA